rnacentral:rRNA from 1 species
GGGUGCGUCAACAUUUUUGAAGAGUCCGAGCAACUUAGCUGGAUCCCAUCAGAACUUCGAAGUUAAGUGUGCUUGUACUAGAGUAGUACUAGGAUGGGUGAGCCCUUGAGAAGUCCUCGUGUUGCAUCCC